rnacentral:rRNA from 1 species
CCUACGGGAGGCAGCAGUGAGGAAUAUUGGUCAAUGGGCGUAAGCCUGAACCAGCCAAGUCGCGUGAGGGAUGAAGGUUCUAUGGAUCGUAAACCUCUUUUAUAAGGGAAUAAAGUGUGGGACGUGUCCUAUUUUGUAUGUACCUUAUGAAUAAGGAUCGGCUAACUCCGUGCCAGCAGCCGCGGUAAUACGGAGGAUCCGAGCGUUAGCCGGAUUUAUUGGGUUUAAAGGGUGCGUAGGCGGCCUUUUAAGUCAGCGGUGAAAGUCUGUGGCUCAACCAUAGAAUUGCCGUUGAAACUGGGGGGCUUGAGUAUGUUUGAGGCAGGCGGAAUGCGUGGUGUAGCGGUGAAAUGCUUAGAUAUCACGCAGAACCCCGAUUGCGAAGGCAGCAUGCCGGCUUCCGACUGACGCUGAAGCACGAAAGCGUGGGGAUCGAACAGGAUUAGAUACCCCAGUAGUC